AUGUCGUCCGCCAGCGCCGGCGGCAACCGUUCGAGGUCCUACAUCGUGGCCGGCGAGGCCAGGGGGCACCACCUUCUCACGAUCCACGGCUACUUGCGCACCAAGUUCACCCCCACGGGUGAGUGCAUCAUGUCCCGCCCUUUCAUCAUCGACGGCCAUCGCUGGUGCAUCGAGUACUACCCCAACGGCGUGUGCCGCGAGGUCGCUGAUUGCGUGUCCCUCUCCCUGGUGCUCGACGAAGACGUCGCGGCGGCGGUGAAGGUCCAGCACGGCAUGCGCCUCGUCGGCGAGGCGGACGAGGACCGACCGGCGUUACUAACUUCGGAGGACAGAUUCCCUUCCCGGGGCGUCUCUUCGCACACGAGGUUCAUCAGAAGGGUCGACCUGGAGAGGUCCAAGUAUCUCAGGAACGAUUCCUUCACAAUCCGGUGUGAUAUCGUCCUCGAACACGACAUCCGCGCGGAGGACCACACGGCGGCCUUUGUCUUCACGCCCCCAUGCGACCUGCGCCAGGACCUUGGCGGGCUCCUCGAUUCCGAGAAGGGCGCCGACGUGGUGUUCGAGGUCGGAGGGGAGACAGUCGCCGCUCACCGGUGCAUACUCGCGGCCCGCUCGCCCGUCUUUGCGGCCGAGCUCUUUGGCCCAAUGAAGGAGGGCAACGCUGCAACCGCCGGCGUGGUCGUGCACGUGGAGGACAUGGAGGCGGAGGUGUUCAAGGCACUGCUCCGUUUCGCAUACACCGGCUUGUUGCCGGAAACACGCAAAGAAGACCUAGAUGUCACCUGCCAACAUCUAUUAGUCGCGGCAGACAGGUACGACAUGAAGCGGCUCAAGUUGAUCUGCGAGGAGAAUCUGUGUGAGUACAUAAAUGUGAACUCGGCGGCGAUCAUCUUGGCGCUAGCCGAACAACACCAUUGUGUGAGGUUGAAGAGGGCCUGCUUCCGUUUUCUCGCCGAUCCACGGAAUCUGAGGGCGGUCGUGGCCACCGACGGCUUCCAGCAUCUGAGUAGGAGCUGUCCUUCCCUUAUGGUCGAGCUCAUUGCCACCUUAGCUAUGUGA
rnacentral:rRNA from 1 species